AGCGUUGCUCGGAAUCACUGGGCGUAAAGCGCACGUAGGCGGCUUUUUAAGUCAGGGGUGAAAUCCCGGAGCUCAACUCCGGAACUGCCUUUGAUACUGGGGAUCUUGAGUUCGAGAGAGGUGAGUGGAACUGCGAGUGUAG
rnacentral:rRNA from 1 species